UUAGGAAUCUUCCCCAAUGGGCGCAAGCCUGAGGGAGCGACGCCGCUUGAAGGAUGAAGGUCUUCGGAUUGUAAACUUCUGAAACAAGGACGAAAUCCCAGCAAUGGGUCUGACGGUACUUGUGUAAUAGCACCGGCUAACUCCGUGCCAGCAGCCGCGGUAAUACGGAGGGUGCAAGCGUUACCCGGAAUCACUGGGCGUAAAGGGCGUGUAGGUGGCUUUGUAAGUCUGGAUUUAAAGACCGAAGCUCAACUUCGGAAAUGGUCUGGAUACUGCAAAGCUAGACGACUGGAGGGGAGAGUGGAAUUCUCGGUGUAGCGGUGGAAUGCGUAGAUACCGAGAGGAACACCAGUGGCGAAGGCGGCUCUCUGGACAGUGCGUGACACUGAGGCGCGAAAGU
rnacentral:rRNA from 1 species